rnacentral:ncRNA from 1 species
CAAAGGCUUGGUCCUAACUUUACUAUCAAUUUUAGCUUAAAUUACACAUGCAAGUAUCCGCAUCCCUGUGAGAAUGCCCUGUGUUUCCUAUAGGAGACAAGGAGCCGAUAUCAGGCACAUAUAAUAGCCCAUGACAUCUUGCUAAGCCACACCCCCAAGGGAAAUCAGCAGUGAUAAACAUUAAGCCAUAAGUGAAAACUUGACUUAAUUAAAGCUAUAUAGGGCCGGUAAAACUCGUGCCAGCCACCGCGGUUAUACGAGAGACCCAAAUUGAUAAAACACGGCGUAAAGCGUGGUUAAGAUAAACCCAAAAUAAAGUCGAAUAUUUCCAAGGCUGUUAUACGCACCCGAAAAUUAGAAGUCCAACCACGAAAGUGACUUUAUAUCCCUGAGCCCACGAAAGCCAUGAAACAAACUGGGAUUAGAUACCCCACUAUGCUUGGCCAUAAACAUAGAUAACAUAAUACACAUGCUAUCCGCCCGGGUACUACAAGCUCUAGCUUAAAACCCAAAGGACUUGGCGGUGCUUUAGACCCACCUAGAGGAGCCUGUCCUAUAACCGAUGAUCCCCGUUCAACCUCACCUUUCUUUGUUUACCCCGCCUAUAUACCGCCGUCGUCAGCUUACCUCAUGAGAGACUUAUAGUAAGCAAAACUGGUAUAACCCAGAACGUCAGGUCGAGGUGUAGCGAAUGGAAAGGGAAGAGAUGGGCUACAUUCCUUAAAUUAAGGAAUACGAAUGAUGUUCUGAAACGUUCAUCCGAAGGAGGAUUUAGCAGUAAGCAGAAAACAGAGAGUUCCGCUGAAAUUGGCCCUGAAGCGCGCACACACCGCCCGUCACUCUCUCCAAAUCUAACAUUAAUAUACCUAAAACUACAAAACCUAAUAAAGGAGAGGCAAGUCGUAACAUGGUAAGUGUAUCGGAAGGUGCACUUGGUAAAAC